CAGCAGCCGCGGUAAUACGGAGGGUGCGAGCGUUAAUCGGAAUUACUGGGCGUAAAGGGUGNGUAGGUGGUUAAUUAAGUUAUCUGUGAAAUCCCUGGGCUCAACCUGGGCAGGUCAGAUAAAACUGUUUAACUCGAGUAUGGGAGAUGGUAGUGGAAUUUCCGGUGUAGCGGUGAAANGCGUAGAGAUCGGAAGGAACNCCAGUGGCGAAGGCGGCUACCUGGCCUAAUACUGACACUGAGGCACGAAAGCGUGGGGAGCAAACAGGAUUAGAUACCCUGGUAGUCCACGCNGUAAACGAUGUCAACUAGCUGUUGGAUAUAUGAAUAUAUUUAGUGGCGAAGCAAACGCGAUAAGUUGACCGCNUGGGGAGUACGGUCGCAAGAUUAAAACUUAAAGGAAUUGACGG
rnacentral:rRNA from 1 species